UACGUAGGGGGCCAGCGUUGUCCGGAAUCAUUGGGCGUAAAGCGCGUGUAGGCGGUCCGGUAAGUCCGCUGUGAAAGUCGGGGGCUCAACCCUCGGAUGCCGGUGGAUACUGUCGGGCUUGAGUACGGAAGAGGCGAGUGGAAUUCCUGGUGUAGCGGUGAAAUGCGCAGAUAUCGGGAGGAACACCAAUGGCGAAGGCAGCUCGCUGGGACGGUACUGACGCUGAGGCGCGAAAGCGUGGGGAGCAAACAGG
rnacentral:rRNA from 1 species